AUAAGCCAUCUAGUCUAUGGUAAUUUGUUACAGCAACUCAAAGUGACUAAGAUGCUCAAGAAGAAAUAAAGGAUACACAAGAAACUGAUAACAUUAGUUAACUGCACUGAGAAGAAUUAUGCAGCUGAGGGGCAGAGCCAGGAACCCUAAGACAGUGAAGGAAAAUCUCUUCCUCCCCUAGAGCUUCUGGUACCCAAUGAAGGGCCACAUCAGCUGGGGACACCUUGCUCAGUCCAGAAGCUGCUGUUCAAAGAUCCUGGACUUCCCAUCUGACAAAAGCCAGCAGAAGGGAGAACGGACUUGCCUUGUCUUAGAUGAGACUUUGGAAAGUGGACUUCAGAGUUAAUGCUGAAAUGUGUCAAGACUUGGGCGACUGUUAAGGAGGGAUGAUUGUAUUUUGCAAUGUGAGAAGGACAUGAGAUUUGGGAGGUGCCAGAGGUGGAAUGAUAUGGUU